rnacentral:rRNA from 1 species
GUAGGGGGCAAGCGUUGUUCGGAAUUACUGGGCGUAAAGGGCGCGUAGGCGGCAUGGCAAGUCGGGAGUGAAAGCCCGGGGCUCAACCCCGGAACUGCUUUCGAAAUGCCAAGCUAGAGUACUGGAAGGGGCAACUGGAAUUCCCAGUGAAGCGGUGAAAUGCGUAGAUAUUGGGAAGAACACCGGAGCGAAGGCGGGUUGCUGGGCCGAUACUGACGCUGAGGCGCGAAAGCCAGGGGAGCAAACGGGAUUAGAUACCCCGGUAGUCCUGGCCCUAAACGAUGGAUACUUGGUGUGUGGGGUUCUCAAAGUCCCCGCGUGCCGGAGCUAACGCGUUAAGUAUCCCGCCUGGGGAGUCGGUCGCAAGGCUA